AACGAACGCUGGCGGCAGGCCUAACACAUGCAAGUCGAACGAACCUUCGGGUUAGUGGCGAACGGGUGAGUAACACGUGGGCAACCUGCCCCGAGCUCUGGGAUAACUCCGGGAAACCGGGGCUAAUACCGGAUAUGACCAUCACGGGCAUCUUUGAUGGUGGAAAGUUUUUCGGCUCGGGAUGGGCCCGCGGCCUAUCAGCUUGUUGGUGGGGUAAUGGCCUACCAAGGCGACGACGGUAGCCGGCCUGAGAGGGCGACCGGCCACACUGGGACUGAGACACGGCCCAGACUCCUACGGGAGGCAGCAGUGGGGGAAUAUUGCGCAAUGGGCGAAAGCCUGACGCAGCGACGCCGCGUGA
rnacentral:rRNA from 1 species